rnacentral:rRNA from 1 species
GGAGGGAGCUAGCGUUGUUCGGAAUUACUGGGCGUAAAGCGCGCGUAGGCGGUCCAUCAAGUCAGAGGUGAAAGCCCGGGGCUCAACCCCGGAACUGCCUUUGAAACUGGCGGACUAGAAUCUUGGAGAGGCGAGUGGAAUUCCGAAUGUAGAGGUGAAAUUCGUAGAUAUUCGGAAGAACACCAGUGGGGAAGGCGACUCGCUGGACAAGUAUUGACGCUGAGGUGGGAAAGCGUGGGGAGCAACCAGGAUUAGAUACCCUGGUAGUCCACGCCGUAAACGAUGAUAACUAGCUGUCCGGAUUCAUAGAGUUUGGGUGGCGCAGCUAACGCAUUAAGUUAUCCGCCUGGGGAGUACGGUCGCAAGAUUA